GUGAAUCAUCGAAUUUUUGAACGCAAAUUGCACUCUCUGCGGAGAGGAUGCCUGUUUGAGGGUCAGCCUAGAAAAAAUCGACAUCGGUGCUGUUGCGCGGUGGCUUUCGGCGGAAAUUGGGGUAUCUUAGAUCUUUUUUUUAAGCUACUUAAAAUUUUCUUGACGAUUCCAUGAACGAUUCGAAAAGUUAUUUCUUUACACGU
rnacentral:misc_RNA from 1 species